rnacentral:rRNA from 1 species
AUUGAACGCUGGCGGCAGGCCUAACACAUGCAAGUCGAACGAGUGGCGGACGGGUGAGUAAUGUCUGGGAAACUGCCCGGUGGAGGGGGAUAACUACUGGAAACGGUAGCUAAUACCGCAUACCAUUGGAUGUGCCCCUAUGGGAUUAGCUAGUAGGUGGGGUAACGGCUCACCCAGGCGACGAUCCCUAGCUGGUCUGAGAGGAUGACCAGCCACACUGGAACUGAGACACGGUCCAGACUCCUACGGGAGGCAGCAGUGGGGAAUAUUGCACAAUGGGCGCAAGCCUGAUGCAGCCAUGCCGCGUGUAUGAAGAAGGCCUUCGGGUUGUAAAGUACUUUCAGCGGGGAGGCGUUACCCGCAGAAGAAGCACCGGCUAACUACGUGCCAGCCGCCGCGGUAAUUC